CUGUGAUUAAUAAUUGGAAAGGUGAUCUUAGUGUAAGUUUCUUUGGCAGCUCAUGUUUUGUUUAUUGGACAAAACCUCAUGCAAAGCCUGUGUUUGUGUUCCUAAGGCUUACCGAUCCUUUUUGGAGAAAAAGUCAGAUGCUGGAUGGAAGAGGUGACCAGAUGACAUGUUAAGAAGUGACCCGCCCCGUGUUGCGUGUGACACUUUGCAGUGUGGCAUCUUUUCUGUGAAGGUGAAGUUCAGCUGGAGCAAAACAGUCCACAGAGCCAGGAAUACACUGGUGCUACCAUCUGGGGAUCUCUUCAGUUUGGUGAUGGCAUUUCAAGAGGUAUGAAAUGCUGUAUCACUCCACAGGGAGAGAGAUUAAACAAGUUAAAUCCUAACUCAGUGAUAGUGUGCAAAGAAACAAACAUAACAGUUGCUGGGUGACAAUGCAAUUCCAACCACACCUAUUAGCUGCUGCUUUUUGCUUUUAGCAGGAGAGAGGGUAAUGUGAACUUUACUUUCAUGCACCAGUGGGGCAAAAAAAACCCACCCUAUAUUGUUGCUAAGACAAGUGAUGUUAAGUGUUAGGGACUAUUUUCAUGUGUACUGUUGCCUUUCCCAUGAUUCCUUAAACAGUUAUGAAAAAAAAAUUAAAAAGAUUCUCAGUUCUCAUUUUAGUAAAUUGGAAUAUCCAGGAUAGCAAUGACUAUGCACAAAACAGAACUGUUUGAAUUUUUAAAUCUGAUUUCUUGUGUUGUCCUGAUGAGAACUGUUAGAGUGGCGCUCUGCAGAAUAUCUGACCGUAUGUAAAUAGGUAGUAGUACAGCUGGCCAAGAGGUUGAAGUAUCAUCAUCAGGUACUUUGGGCUAAUUAAGUUGUCAUGGAGUUGUUAAGGUCUCCCCAUUUGCAUCUGUUUAUAAUUGCUUUUAUGCAAAACUUGUCUUUAAUUUCUGCCAGCUUAACUUUACACUAGUGCUGUUGUGCUCCUUUGCCCCCCUCAUCAAGCCUUAGAUCGUGAGGGAUCCAUCUUUCCCUGAUGUUCUCCUUAGACAGUCAGAGAAAAUUUUUGCAUGGAUCUUUCAAGUCCUGAUGUAUUGGUGGGACUUCUAGCACAUGUUUGUGUCUGUUGGCAGUGAGAGUUCCUCCCUUCCCUCACUUUCAGAGUUCUUGUUCUGGAGACUUGCUUUGCUCACAGCUCUUUCCUUUCCUAUUAAAUUACAUGUAGAUAAACAGAGACAAUGAAACAGACUUGUGAAUACAAAUAAUGGACCACCCAUGCAGGCUGACA
rnacentral:lncRNA from 1 species